rnacentral:rRNA from 1 species
AUUGAACGCUGGCGGCAGGCCUAACACAUGCAAGUCGAACGAGUGGCGGACGGGUGAGUAAUGUCUGGGAAACUGCCUGAUGGAGGGGGAUAACUACUGGAAACGGUAGCUAAUACCGCAUACCAUCAGAUGUGCCCAUGUGGGAUUAGCUUGUGGGUGGGGUAACGGCUCACCAAGGCGACGAUCCCUAGCUGGUCUGAGAGGAUGACCAGCCACACUGGAACUGAGACACGGUCCAGACUCCUACGGGAGGCAGCAGUGGGGAAUAUUGCACAAUGGGCGAAAGCCUGAUGCAGCAAUGCCGCGUGAGUGAAGAAGGCCUUCGGAUUGUAAAGUACUUUCAGCGGGGAGGCGGUACCCACAGAAGAAGCAACGGCUAACUCCGUGCCAGCCGCCGCGGUAAUAC